rnacentral:tRNA from 1 species
AAGGUCUUAGCUUAAUUAAAGCACCUGUGUUGCAUACAGGAGAUGUGAGGUAAUGUCUCGCAGGUCUUA